UACAGAGGGUGCGAGCGUUAAUCGGAAUUACUGGGCGUAAAGCGUGCGUAGACGGCUAUCUAAGUCGGGUGUGAAAGCCCCGGGCUCAACCUGGGAAUUGCAUUCGAGACUGAAUAGCUAGGGUACGGUAGAGGGAAGCGGAAUUUCCGGUGUAGCGGUGAAAUGCGUAGAUAUCGGAAGGAACAUCAGUGGCGAAAGCGGCUUCCUGGACCAGUACCGACGUCAGGCACGAAAGCGUGGG
rnacentral:rRNA from 1 species